GUUUUUUCUCUGGAAAAAGCAGACAAAACCUUUCAAUGGCCGAAUGAGACUGAUAGGAGCAGAAUGAAGAUGAACAAAGUUUGCAGCACGCUACGUUAAAAGCGGAAAGCACAUAACACGCAACAAGAAGAUCAAGACUGGAGAUGACUUGCCUUUUGAUGGAAAAUCGAGGUAACAUAAAUGACUACUGUUUUAACUGCAGGGGAACAGAUGAGCAAUCAGGCAGAGGCACCG